rfam:Zootermopsis nevadensis contig20677, whole genome shotgun sequence.
GCCACGGUGGUCUAGCGGUUAGAACGCUGGCCUUGUAAUCCUGGGGUCUCGGGUUCGAUUCCCGGCGGCG